GCAGGGUAAUUGUGUUGUUGUGGCAGCCAAUGACACUAGAGGGUGCUCCCUAUAAAAAGCACAGGUAAACUGCAGGUUUAGAUUAGAUUGGUUGGCUGAAGACACGUCACCGUGUGGUCCAGUGUUGUGCCUGCUGGGUGCCAAGUGCAGGUGAGGUUGGCUGUCAUGCACACUUGUAAUUGUUUCAGCACAGUUACUUAUAAACUUCUGCACCAGCAGAUAACUGUCGGCAUGUUUGCCCUCACCACUGAUUGUGRGUGUAGUGGCUGCUGUGGCCAGAGUUUGUGCCCUUACGUGAUCUCCCCACAAGUGAGAGAGGAGAUUGGCAUGAUCGGAAUUGUGGGUGGCAGCUUUUAACUUGACCCCAUCAGCCCCGCUGCUGCUUUGCCUCAUUUUGAUUCUCCUGUGUUCCUACCAAAUGUUUGACUGAGGCGUGGCGCUCGAAGACACGCCCACGCCAUGGAGGAGGGGAAGCAGAGGUUUACUAUCAACAGUCUGGUGGAAUCAAUUGUUUCUCUGCUGAUAUUUUUAAACCACAACUUUCCAAUUUUAUCUGUAAAUUAAUUGUCUUUUUGGUAUUUGUUUAUUUUUUUGUUUCUAAUUUUGUUUUUAUUCUUUUAGCUCAGUGCUGAGGACCAGUGACGGUGGUGUGGUUGACCUGGAUGGCGGUGUCCCUUUUGUGUGUGCAUGCUUGCGGUGAUCAACACAGGUGGAGGGAAACCCAAGGAGUGAGUGUGGUUUCACGUGUGUUUGUAGUAGUUUGUCUUUGGGAGCCGCUCGUCCAGAAUAGGUCUGGCACCUACCGGUAAGCCUCAGUAGC